rnacentral:rRNA from 1 species
AACUCUUAGCAGUGGAUCACUCAGCUCAUGCUUCAAUGAAGAACACAGCUAGCUGCAAGAAUUAAUGUGAAUUUCAGGACACAUUGAUUAUCAACACUUUGAACACACUUGCGGCCCCGGGUUCUUCCCUGUCUGAGGUCAAUCGCCCUGCCAUGCCA